CUCAAAGGAAUUGACGGGGACCCGCACAAGCGGUGGAUGAUGUGGUUUAAUUCGAUGCAACGCGAAAAACCUUACCCACCUUUGACAUGUAUGGAAGUUUCCAGAGAUGGAUUCGUGCUCGAAAGAGAGCCAUAACACAGGUGCUGCAUGGCUGUCGUCAGCUCGUGUCGUGAGAUGUUGGGUUAAGUCCCGCAACGAGCGCAACCCUUGUCAUUAGUUGCUACAUUUAGUUGGGCACUCUAAUGAGACUGCCGGUGACAAACCGGAGGAAGGUGGGGAUGACGUCAAGUCCUCAUGGCCCUUAUAGGUGGGGCUACACACGUCAUACAAUGGCCGGUACAAAGGGUCGCAAACCCGCGAGGGGGAGCUAAUCCAUCAAAGCCGGUCGUAGUCCGGAUCGCAGUCUGCAACUCGACUGCGUGAAGUCGGAAUCGCUAGUAAUCGUGGAUCAGCAUGUCACGGUGAAUACGUUCCCGGGUCUUGUACACACCGCCCGUCACACCAUGGGAGCGGGUCUCGCCAGAAGUAGUUAGCCUAACCGCAAGGAGGGCGAUUACCACGGCGGGGUUCGUGACUGGGGUGAAGUCGUAACAAGGUAACC
rnacentral:rRNA from 1 species